rnacentral:rRNA from 1 species
GAUGAACGCUGGCGGCGUGCUUAACACAUGCAAGUCGAACGAUGAAGCCCAGCUUGCUGGGUGGAUUAGUGGCGAACGGGUGAGUAACACGUGAGUAACCUGCCCUUGACUCUGGGAUAAGCCUGGGAAACUGGGUCUAAUACUGGAUAUGACUUCUCAUCGCAUGGUGGGGGGUGGAAAGAUUUAUUGGUCUUGGAUGGACUCGCGGCCUAUCAGCUUGUUGGUGAGGUAAUGGCUCACCAAGGCGACGACGGGUAGCCGGCCUGAGAGGGUGACCGGCCACACUGGGACUGAGACACGGCCCAGACUCCUACGGGAGGCAGCGGUGGGGAAUAUUGCACAAUGGGCGCAAGCCUGAUGCAGCGACGCCGCGUGAGGGAUGACGGCCUUCGGGUUGUAAACCUCUUUCAGUAGGGAAGAAGCGAGAGUGACGGUACCUGCAGAAGAAGCGCCGGCUAACUACGUG